GCUUUUGGUGCACCAACCCUGCUAGCGAUACAAUAUUCACAUCGCUCUGGGGUAAAAACUCAAAAUUCAUUCUGUGUAAAUUUUCACAGUGACUAUCAACACGUCUGGUAUAUAGUUAUACUCUUCAGAAAUACACAGUUCAUGUAUUCUGUCACUAUUUUAUGUGUUGACCUACAGACACUUCCUAAAAUGGCAUUUUCUUUUUAUUUAGUGUUUAAUAACAGACCCACAUGAAACAAACAUUUCUAAAGACAUUUAAAGAGGCAAGUCAUGCACGACUUCCCAAGAGGCAGAUGACCCAUGGUUACCUCUUUUAUUUUUUAAUUUCCACGUGAAUGUUAUCAUGACCUUUCCUGGAGAGAGAAGUCUGGAGUUCCCACUCUUUCUGUGUCUUUGUGAUGCUGUGUGGAGUCAUGUUUGCGGCAGGAUAAAUCAGCACUGGCCUCGUUAUGCCCUUACUGUCCACAGGGCAGUGGGGAUUCUUUUCAUUCCAGCUAGAAAUUUAUCUUCUGGCUUUGUGAAUCCUCUUCAUCUCCCUGCCCAUCCAUCAUGGUGGAAUGCUCCAUCGACGAGCCCUGAUGCAGGAGGUCAGAUGGGACACCUGUUGGACAUACCUCUUCUGUCAAAAAAUAACUAGGGAGAAACUAAUUGAAAGAAGGCAGAUGGCAACCCCUUCCUAAUUAUAGAGUAGGGCCAUCUUGGCUUCAGAUGUGGAGUUCAAGCUAAGUCUAUUUGGAAGUGAAGCAAUAUUUUUAAACAGGAAGGUUUGUGCUUAUGUGUUAGAUACAGUUCACAUGUUCUAUUAGGGUUCAGGAUUGUGGGCUGCCAAGGAGAUGUGAAGCCCAAAUAACUUGUAAGAGCCCAAAAUAAUUUGACUUUGCAUCAUGGGAAGUGUCAUUCUCAAAAUAAAAUCUUCUCAGCCAUGAUGUCAUUUAAUUACUAAUUAAAGCAAUUAUACCCUCAUCUUGCAAUGUUCUAAAGACGUUAUUAUUGGAACCCUAAAGCUGAUGGAAUUCCGUGGAUUACUCUGGUGACAGCAUGUUCUGGUGGAUACUCAAAUUUGCCGUCAGAGACAGAGGGCCGUCAACAAUGGCGGAUUCCCCUGGGGUGGCUGAGGCGGGUGUGUCCGCUGCCUGUCUGCUGUGGACAACAGAAAAGCACUCCCUGCCUCUCCUCCAGCCCCUUCCCCCAUUCUUAGCCUCACUCUUCCUUCACACUCAGGGUAUUUUCUAAUAUUCAUACUUGAGAUUUGAUUAUUAAUUUAACUCUCUGGCUUUUAGGAAACUCAGCCAAAUUUGGGGUUUGUGGGUAGUGAUUCUUUCACAUCGGCUUCCCUCGCUGGAUUAAGAUGGUGUUUCUUCUGCUGUGAUCUUCAAUGGCAGCUCCUGGGGACACCAGGGCCAGCUAGGACUUGGCCUUUAUUCUCCAAAGGAGUGAAGCAGGGGAAGUUUGGAGGAAGAGCGGGCUUCCAGGGAGAGAUCUAGAAGAUAGAAGCCAUUCUGCAGUGGGUGGUGCUGAUGGAUGUCCCCCAAGUACCUCAAGAUCUUCUCUUGGACGUGCUCUCCCCUCCACCCACCCUUCAGGAUCACAAAUGAAGGCAACCACCAGCUCCUCACAGAGGGGCGCCGACUGUCUCGCCAAUGAACCCUGGCUGGGCUGGACUGGGGUGGAAACUAGAAUAAUGUGUGGUUUUAUUACCAACCUCUGCAAUGGGAGAUAAGGUUCACGGACUGCAUUCGCCUGGGUCUAUUUCUGAAGUCUGUUCUGCUCCAUUGGUCCAUAUGUCCAUCUAUCCCCCGAUAACCACUCUGUCUUCACAACUGUUACAUUACAGUACCUCUUGAAAUCAGCUGCAAUUAUAGGAAAUCAUCAUUUGCAGGUGGAAAGAACAUUUUGUAAAGUUCAUUUACUAAGCCGUCUGGUAAGAACAGUCCUGGCCAAAAAGGGAACUCCACAAGGAAUUACUACCCUUUGGUAAUCCUCCCCACCUGUGUACCCUCCAACUCCACCAUUUCAAAGGGCAUCUUUGGAAUUUCAUCUUCGCCAUCCUGACCCUUUUAUUUACUCACAGGGGACUUUCCAAAUUCCAAGUCUUUUACUUUUAAACUGGUUCUUUGAUCUUAGUGGUUUCACAUUCUGAAUUUAGCCACUGAUUUGGGAAAAGUCGGGAAAUUCACAGAAUCAUCAAGAGUCAGAACUUCCCAAUACAGGGGACCUUAGUCGUGUAUCCAUCCCGGUGUUUUCUUCCCAGGGGACAGUUGGCAAUGACCGGAGACAUUCCAUUCAUUGCUAGGAGGGGGUUCUCCUGUCAUCUUGCGGAGGGAAGUAAAACAUCCUAUGAGGCAAAAAGAUCAAUUCAUAGUGGUAGAGCUCAGGUGGUGGUUGUCAGAGGUGGAUGGGUUGGGGUGGAGGCUGCUGGUUACACUUCAGCUGGACAGGAAGAGCAAGUGUUGAUCCCUGCUGUACAGCGUCAGCCCAGGAGACUACAGUCAGUAAUGACAGGCACUUCCAGCGAUCUAAGAGUAAAUCUCAAAUGUCUCAGCACCAAAACUGAUGAGUGAGGUAAUGGAUGUGUCCACUAGCUUCAUUUAAUCAUUCCACAUUUACACAUACAGCAAAACACCACUUCUACCCCAUAAAUACAUAGUCAUUUCUUGUCUAAUACAAAUACUGUAAUAUCAGUCAUAAAGUAACAUGAAACACACCC